CCUACGGGUGGCAGCAGUCGGGGAUAUUGCGCAAUGGAGGGAACCCUGAUGCAGCGACGCCGCGUAGAGGAAGAAGCGUCUCGGAGUGUAAACCCCUGUCGUGAGGGAAGAAAUUGACAGUACCUCAGGAGGAAGCUCCGGCUAACUAGGUGCCAGCAGCCGCGGUAAUACAUAGGGAGCAAGCGUUAUCCGGAUUUACUGGGUGUAAGGGGUGCGCAGGCGGCCUGGAAAGUCAGCGGUAAAAGCCGGGGGCUCAACCUCUGGCCGCCGUUGAAACUGUCGGGCCUGAGUGGGGGAGGGGCAGGCGGAAUGCGUGGUGUAGCGGUGAAAUGCGUAGAUAUCAGGCAGAACACCGAUGGCGAAGGCAGCCUGCCGG
rnacentral:rRNA from 1 species